CACGUGUGGACAGCGCUGUGUGAAAAUGGCUGUGGUCUUUGUGGGUUACGUUUGGUUAUACCUCACUGGGACACCAGAGGGCGCGCGGAGGGCCGGCACUUGUUUUUCUUUAAAUUCCGAAUCAAAGUCCGUGCGGAGAACAACAAAAGACCAGGAACACGGGAGCCGGGAGACAAAGGGACAAGGGAAAAAAUGCCGCACGCCCAGUUUUACUGGAGCUGCUGUUUGCUUCCUAAUCCACCCCGACCUCUGUGCCUUAAAGAACUAAAAAUAAACAACUUAAACUGCAAAAUAAUGAAAUCUUCGACUAACAAGGAAAAUCACAGUCGAAUAGAUUAGCACAGGCCUGGGGAAGACUAUCACGGGUAUGCGUUUGAGCUGUUUGCUUUGCUUGAUACUUUUUUCAAUAUUUAUAAAUGCCUAGAAAAAUAGGACUCUGCAUGCUAUUUUGUGCUGGUUUUCUCAUUUACGGUAUCAUCAGCUUUAUUUUUAUCAAUAAAUUCUGAUAACAUAAUCUUGCUAAUCACAUGAGUGAAUCAUCAAAGAAGAAAUUUCAAAAGCGCUUCAGGCAGCAUUUUUCCUAAUAUAGGAGCAACUUGAAUCCAGACCUGCGUCAUGCAUUUGCAGCAGGAAUUUUUCUGCUACUUCGCAUUUAGAGGACAAAACAGGGAGAAGAAAAAAGAAGAGCAGUAACAACACACGUAUGAGCACUGGCAUAGCUUUACCAGAGCUUCAGUGGAGAGGAUGGUGUCUCUUCUGAAGGGACAAAGAUUAAGCCUCUUCUCCCACGGUGUGGAACAUGGGGGUAACGGGCUGUUCAGACUUGGGUUCCCACUGCCCUACAGCUUUGCCAACUGAGAG
rnacentral:lncRNA from 1 species